rnacentral:lncRNA from 1 species
UGAAGUUGCUUAUUAGCUUAUGAAGCUUUUGGGCUGAGAGGAUGGGAUUUUCUAGAUAUAGGGUCAUGUGAUCUGCAAACAAAGAUAAUUUGACUUCUUCUCUUCCUAUUUGAAUAUGCUUUGUUUCUUUCUCUUGCCUGAUUGCUCUGGCCAUAAAUUUUAAUGCUAUGUUGAAUAGAAGUGGUGAGAGAGGGCAUCCUUGUCUUGUGCCAGUUUUCAAGUGUAAGGGUUAACUAGAUUGUUUAUAAAGCUUUGCACAGACUCCUCACGAUCUUCAUUUCCUUGUAUAAGUUGAGAGCAUUCGGUGCACAGAGUGAGCUCAACUCACCUUGAACCCAGAUCUGGGAACCUGGCCAGUUCCCGUGGUCCACUUUUUAGUAAAGCAAUUCAAGGACGCAGUUGCAUAAUGAAGACGGAGUCAACAUAUCUUAAACUGUAAAUAAGCUUCUUUCUUUAGCACAAUAUAAAAGAAAUGAACUUCUUUUUUUAGCACAGUAUAAAAGAUAGUCCAGUGUUAAUACAGUAUAAAGAAGAACAGUCUAGUGUUAUGUUACAGGAGAGAGCUUAUUACUAAGAGUCGACAGAAGGCUUGGCUUUGCAGUUACCCCUGCUGAUUUCUUUGCCGGACACCCGUGCUGAUCUUUGUUGCCGGAUGCCCGUGCUGAUCUUUGCCGGUGUAUACCCGUGCUGAUUUCUUUCCGGUGUAUGCCCGUGAUGAUUCCUUUCUGAUUUAUUUGCCGGUGUUGCUGUGAGGCCUCCAGAUUGACUUUGCGAUUACCCGUGCCGGUGUUGCUGUAAUUACCCGUGCCGGUGUUGCUGUGAUUGGAUUACCCGUGCUGCCGGUGUUGCUGUGAUUACCCGUGCUGAUUCUUAUGCCGGUGUUGCUCUAAUUACCCGUGCUGCCGGUGUUGCUGUUAAGUGGACAGAAGGCUUCCAGAUUGACCUUGCGAUUACCCGUGCUGAUUCUUAUGCCGGUGUUGAUGUGGAUGGUAAUGUAAAUAUAUAUAUAUAUAGUAAAUAAAUCUCUUUUUCUUAUAUACUCUCGACUGGUGUUUUUCCUCCCCAUGAACCUGCCUGUUAAAACAAAUCCAAGCUUGGUCUCUUUGGUAUUUGUCUUGUACCAAAACAGGAGCCCACCUCCCAAGGUGUC